rnacentral:rRNA from 1 species
AUGGCUGGAGGAGCCGGCGGCGGCGGGGCGGCGGAGAUAACGCUGGAGCGCACGCCGACGUGGAUCGUCGCGUCCGUGUGCUCCGUCAUCGUCCUCAUCUCCCUGUUCUUCGAGCGCCUGCUCCACCGCCUCGGCAAGAGGCUCACAAAAGGCCGAAGGAAGCCGCUGUACGAGGCCCUGCUCAAGGUCAAAGAAGAGCUGAUGCUGCUGGGGUUCAUCUCCCUGCUGCUCACCGUGUUCCAGGGAGCCACGCAGAAGAUAUGCGUCCGGGAGAGCCUGAUGCAGCACCUCCUGCCGUGCCCGCGCAACGGCGCCGGUGCCGCCAAGAGCGUGCAGCAUUAUGCCGCGGGCGCCACCGUGUUCACCGGUGUGGUGGGCAGCACGAGGAGACUCCUGGCAGGUGGAGGCGCCUCCAGUGACUAUUGCCUCAAUAAGGGCAAAGUUCCAAUUCUUUCGAUCCAAGCUAUCCAUCAGUUACACAUAUUUAUCUUCGUCUUAGCGGCUACCCAUGUGAUUCUUAGUGCUAUUACAAUUAUUCUUGGAAUCACACAGACAAGAAAAUGGAAACACUGGGAGGACAAGAUCCAGCAAAGCGACGAUAAUGGUCCUCAAAUGGUCAGACAUGUGCAAGAAUUCAAAUUUAUCAAAAAACACUUUAAAGGUCAUGGAAGACGAUGGGAAAUAUUCGGUUGGCUGCGUUCUUUCUUCAAACAAUUCUACGGAUCAGUCACCGAAGAGGACUACACAACCCUGCGACUUGGCUUCGUCAUGAAACACAGCAAGGGGCAUCUAAAAUUCAACUUUUACAAUUACAUGAAUAGAGCACUAGAAGGGGAUUUCAAGAAAGUUGUUGGCAUAAGCUGGUACCUUUGGGCUAUGUUGAUGAUAUUCUUGCUACUUAAUGUUCAUGGAUGGCAUGUCUACAUUUGGAUAUCUAUAGCCCCUUUCAUUUUGCUACUUUUGGUUGGAAGUAAGCUGGAGCAUAUUAUCACGGAGCUAGCUAUCGACGUUGCCCAGAAGAAUACUGCAAUAGAAGGGGAACUAGUUGUAGCUCUUUCAGAUGAAUUCUUUUGGUUUCACCGGCCUAAACUAGUCCUUCUAUUGAUCCAUAUCAUCUUGUUCCAAAAUGCAUUUGAGAUUGCAUUUUUCUUCUGGCUGCUGGUAACAUAUGGAUUUAAAUCAUGUAUUAUGGGAAAACCAGCAUAUGCUAUUGCUCGUCUGGUGAUAAGUGUCAUCGGCCAACUCCUCUGUGGAUACAGCACCCUCCCUCUGUAUGCUCUCAUAUCUCAAAUGGGAAGUUCGUUCAAGAAAGCCAUGUUUGAUGAAAGUAUAUCUGAAGGCCUCGCCAAUUGGGCUCAUAAGGCUAGGAAGCGUAAUACAAAGCCAGCAGCAAGUGUUGGUGACAAUUCAUCCGUUGGUGAGGAAAUUCAAAUGACAAAUGCAAGAAGAGAAUCAGCAAUAUAG